rnacentral:lncRNA from 1 species
AGGCAGCCUGGGACCGGCCCACGGAGUUGCAGCCGCCCAUCGCUCCCUCCUUGCGGACAUCAUGCUCCAGUUCCUGAUACCAAACCUGGCUAAAAAACUUGAAGACAUUAAAAAGGACCUGGAUGCCAAGAAGAAACCCCCUAGUUCAUGAGGCCGACUCCAGCCCUGCCUUCUGGAUUCUACUAUUGUCGAGGGCCUUCUUUACUCUGAACCAAAAGCUUUUGUUUUAAUUUCCAGCCUCAGCAGUUUUCUUCAUUGUGUUGCCUUAGAGCACAAAUGGGGCCACAAGUUAAGAACUACCCUUAAUUUUCCAACAGCAUCACUUCUUCCCUUCCUCCUUCCAGCCACUUGGGAGGCCCUGAAACUGGAAUUAUGGUGCUAGAUUAGUAAACAUGACCUUUAAUUAGUAGUCUCUCCCUUUUUCUUUGGAAUUUCUAUUACCUUUUUUCAAAAGAAAAAUUGAUAAAUUUUGUAUAGCAGAUGAGAUAUAAAUAAUGCUGAUUUCACAUUCUAGCAAUUAUAUAAUGGGUAUUUAAACAUUCGGUACUUAAUUAUGUUAUUUCAAAAUAGUAGUUAAAAUCAAGAAGCCAGUUCCUGGUGAAUUAUCCAUUGUUGUCAGGAAGCUGCAUAGUUGCUAUUGUAACCACUAUAUCAAUUUGCUAUUCAUUAACCAAGAAACAGUGUUCUGAGAACCCUGAGAACUUACAAAUAUUUAAAAUAAUGGCCGUUGUCCUCAAUAGUAUUCCUAGUCUAAUAUUCAUGUUGUUUUUUAAUGAUGUGUUUGAUCUGGUUCUUUUCCCUCGUAAGAAUCAUACUUUAUGGGAUAACAGGUGCAUGUGACAUUACCUGGUGGAUAAAUGAGAAGUUGAUUAUAAGGGAAGUUUUAUGCCUUUUUAUAUUUAAAAAAUAUGUUUACAUUAUAACUUUAUAGUGAGCCCCUGAGUGAGUGGGUUAAGGAUCUGGCAUUGCUCAGUCUCAUAGGAAGCCUUUUUGUGUUUUUUUCCUGCAAUCAGAAAUUGCUCUCUUAGUUUGUCAAAUGUAUAAUCAGUCCACAUUUUUUUAAGUGAAAAAAAUUUAAAUAGGUAACUUCCCCUUGGGUCAGUACAAAAGUGAUUUAGAAUUAAGGACUUCUCCCACCCAUGUCCUGCAGCUCCUAAUUCCUCUUCCUGGAGUCAGGCACUGUUGCCAGUUUUUUUGAAAAAGAUUCUGUCCCUAAACAAACAUGUUCAUGAGGGUUAUUAUACAAAUGAUAACAAGCUAUAUACAGAAUUUUCCUCAGUGGAGAUCAUUCCAUAUCCGUAUGUAAGGAACAAAAAACCUCUUCCCCUUUUGUGACUGCAUAAGGUUCUGUUGAAUGAAUAUGCUGCAGUUGAUUUAGUCAGCUCCUGGUGAACAUUUAGGUUGUUUCCUGUCUUUUGUUAUUAUGGUGAUAACCUUAAACCUAAUAUUGUUAUGCAUAUCUAUGCCAGGGAUAGCGCCAAGCUAAAGCCCUAGAAGUGUAGUUUACCCUGUAGUUUCUAGGGCUUUACCAAGCUAAAGCCCUCGAAGUAUAGUUUGUUGGGUAUCAGCUUCACUGAUAAUGCCAUUCCUGGAAACAUUUUAGCAGAAUUAGUAAACUGGAAGGAUGAUUUUAGAGACACCUUUUUUUCAGACACUGAUGGCACUGACAGUAAAUGUGAUUAUACAGUGAGGUGAUUCUACUUUUCUUUGAAAACGUGGAUCUUUCAAACAUGGAGAUACAUUUUGUCCCUGUCAGGUUGUCCUGGUUCGUGAGACAAAUUAGGACCUUAUUAUAGUUUGUCUUCUCCUCAGACAGAGUGUGAUCAGGGGCAAGUGGCUUAUUUCUCCAAAACUGUUGUUUUCUCUUUAAGAUGUGGAUGCAGUACCUACCUCAUAGGGCUUCCAUGAGAAACUGUUGAGAUAACAUACGUGGUGUGUAGCACAGUGCUUUGCAGAUUGUCCAAUAAAUAGUAGAUAUUAGUUGGAACGUGCUGCCUUUGGUCAGAAUACUUUUUUCUGCACUCACUUCUGGAACCAGUUUAUGAACCAUGCAAAAUGUGUCAUUCUCUUUGUAAAAUGAAAAUCUGUAGUAUCCACUGUGAUCAUACCACCUGGCUUACCAGGUUUGAUCUUAAAUGACUGAAUUGUUAGCAGAAUGAACUACAGCCUUGAAGGAUAAUGGUUUACCAUCUUGAUAGGUAUUCAAACUUUCACAAGCUUAGAAAGCUGUUUUCAAAGAGGGAUUCAUUGUUAUCAGCCAUGGAGCCUUGAUGCUUGUGUGUAUGGUCUCCCAGGUGGCUUCUUUGGGGAUGUGAGUCACUUAGAUGUUGCAUGAUGAGGUCUCUAUAAUUGUACUUGUAAAUGAGGCACGAUUGGACUUGGAGCUUCCCCUGGGAGUGACACUUAACCUUGCUGACGGGAUCAUCUCCACCAGUGGGAGCCACCCAGCUAAUCACCUUAAACGUGUGAACAGCAACACAAAGAGUGCAGGCCAACUUCAUGGUCACCAUUCAGAUUCCCUCUCCCAUUUCAGGCUCUUGUAGGAGUGAAAGGGAUCUGGAGUUCUCAGGCAGGAUUAUCUUCACGGAGACAUAUUGUUGGGGGACCUAGAACCAUUAUGGGUUUUAGGCGGUGUGGUGGUUGUGAUCGUGGUACUCAAAGUUAACAUUCUCUGGGUGUUUUGUAGAGGUCCCUGCAGAGGGGUGGGAAGAACUACUGCAAGACAUGCCUUUUUUUUUUUCCUUUAAAAAAAUCUUGAGGAGUUCCUGUUGUGGCACAGUGGAAAUGAAUGCGACUAGUAUCCAUGAGGAUGUGGGUUUGAUCCUUGGCCUCCCUCAGUGGGUUAAGGAUCUGACAUUGCUGUGGGCUGUGGUGUGGGUUGCAGAUGUGGCUCGGACCCACUGUUGCUAUGGCUGUGGCAUAGGCCAGCAGCUGCAGCUCCUAGUGGACCCCCAGCCUGGGAACUUCCAUAUGCUG